GUACAGCACAUCUACUAAAAUAGGAAAGUUACAGAGAAGAUUAUCAUGGCCCCUGUGCAAGGAUGACAUGCAAUUUAUGAAGCAUUUCAUGAUUUUU
ensembl:snRNA U6 U6 spliceosomal RNA